rnacentral:rRNA from 1 species
UAAUCUACCCUUAUAUUGGGAUAACAUUGGGAAACUGGUGCUAAUACCGAAUGGUCUUAUUUUAAUGCGAGUUAAAUUGAGUAAAGGUGGCCUCUGUAUAUGCUACCGUAUAGGGAUGAGCCUGCGUACCAUUAGCUAGUAGGUGGGUAACGGCCCACCUAGGCAACGAUGGUUAGCGGGUCUGAGAGGAUGAUCCGCCACACUGGAACUGGAACACGGACCAG